rnacentral:rRNA from 1 species
UUCCGUAGGUGAACCUGCGGAAGGAUCAUUAAAAUUAUUGUAUUACACUGUUUUUGAAGCAAACACAAUAACCAUUAAUAUUCAAUAACCUAAAAAAAAUCAAAACUUUCAACAACGGAUCUCUUGGUUCUCGCAUCGAUGAAGAACGCAGCGAAUUGCGAUACGUAUCAUGACUUGCAGACGUGAAUCAUCAAUCUUUGAACGCACAUUGCGCCUUGAGGUAUUCCUCAAGGCAUGCCUGUUUGAGCGUCGGCUCCCUUCAAACCCCCGGGUUUGGUGUUGCCUUCCGAAAUAUCACAGUUGUCGCAAUACGUUACUUCAACUUUAUUCUUUCGCCCUCAAAUCAGGUAGGACUACCCGCUGAACUUAAGCAUAUCAAUAAGCGGAGGAAAAAG